rnacentral:rRNA from 1 species
AGGGAAUCUUCCGCAAUGGACGAAAGUCUGACGGAGCAACGCCGCGUGAGUGAUGAAGGUUUUCGGAUCGUAAAGCUCUGUUGCCAGGGAAGAACGUCCGUUAGAGUAACUGCUAACGGAGUGACGGUACCUGAGAAGAAAGCCCCGGCUAACUACGUGCCAGCAGCCGCGGUAAUACGUAGGGGGCAAGCGUUGUCCGGAAUUAUUGGGCGUAAAGCGCGCGCAGGCGGCUGUUUAAGUCUGGUGUAUAAUCCUGGGGCUCAACUCCGGGUCGCACUGGAAACUGGAUGGCUUGAGUGCAGAAGAGGAGAGUGGAAUUCCACGUGUAGCGGUGAAAUGCGUAGAGAUGUGGAGGAACACCAGUGGCGAAGGCGACUCUCUGGGCUGUAACUGACGCUGAGGCGCGAAAGCGUGGGGAGCAAAC